rnacentral:rRNA from 1 species
GGGCCCGCACAAGCGGUGGAGUAUGUGGUUUAAUUCGAUGCAACGCGAAAAACCUUACCUACACUUGACAUACUUGGAAUCUUUUGUAAUGAAAGAGUGCCUUUUGGAGCCAAGAUACAGGUGCUGCAUGGCUGUCGUCAGCUCGUGUCGUGAGAUGUUGGGUUAAGUCCCAUAACGAGCGCAACCCUUACCCUUAUUUGCCAGCGAUUCGGUCGGGAACUAUAAGGGGACUGCCGGUGAUAAACCGGAGGAAGGUGAGGACGACGUCAAGUCAUCAUGGCCCUUACGUGUAGGGCUACACACGUGCUACAAUGGGGAGUACAGAUAGACGCUAAAGCGCGAGCUGGUGCUAAUCUCAUAAAGCUUGUCCCAGUCCGGAUCGCAGUCUGCAACUCGACUGCGUGAAGUCGGAAUCGCUAGUAAUCG